rnacentral:rRNA from 1 species
AUUGAACGCUGGCGGCAUGAUUUACACAUGCAAGUCGAACGGUAACAGGCCGCAAGGUGCUGACGAGUGGCGAACGGGUGAGUAAUGCAUCGGAACGUGCCCAGUCGUGGGGGAUAACUACUCGAAAGAGUAGCUAUUACCGCAUACGAUCUAUGGAUGAAAGCGGGGGACCGUAAGGCCUCGCGCGAUUGGAGCGGCCGAUGUCAGAUUAGGUAGUUGGUGGGGUAAAGGCUCACCAAGCCAACGAUCUGUAGCUGGUCUGAGAGGACGACCAGCCACACUGGGACUGAGACACGGCCCAGACUCCUACGGGAGGCAGCAGUGGGGAAUUUUGGACAAUGGGCGCAAGCCUGAUCCAGCAAUGCCGCGUGCAGGAAGAAGGCCUUCGGGUUGUAAACUGCUUUUGUACGGAACGAAACGGCUCUGGUUAAUACCCGGGGCUAAUGACGGUACCGUAAGAAUAAGCACCGGCUAACUACGUG